AUUGAACGCUGGCGGCAUGCUUUACACAUGCAAGUCGAACGGUAACAGGCCGCAAGGUGCUGACGAGUGGCGAACGGGUGAGUAAUGCAUCGGAACGUGCCCAGUCGUGGGGGAUAACGCAGCGAAAGCUGCGCUAAUACCGCAUACGAUCUAUGGAUGAAAGCGGGGGACCGUAAGGCCUCGCGCGAUUGGAGCGGCCGAAGUCAGAUUAGGUAGUUGGUGGGGUAAAGGCUCACCAAGCGGACGAUCUGUAGCUGGUCUGAGAGGAUGACCAGCCACACUGGGACUGAGACACGGCCCAGACUCCUACGGGAGGCAGCAGUGGGGAAUUUUGGACAAUGGGCGCAAGCCUGAUCCAGCAAUGCCGCGUGCAGGAAGAAGGCCUUCGGGUUGUAAACUGCUUUUGUACGGAACGAAACGGCUCUGGUUAAUACCUGGGGCUAAUGACGGUACCGUAAGAAUAAGCACCGGCUAACUACGUGCCAGCAGCCGCCGUAAAAC
rnacentral:rRNA from 1 species